AUUGAACGCUGGCGGCAGGCCUAACACAUGCAAGUCGAACGAGUGGCGGACGGGUGAGUAAUGUCUGGGAAACUGCCUGAUGGAGGGGGAUAACUACUGGAAACGGUAGCUAAUACCGCAUACCAUCAGAUGUGCCCAGAUGGGAUUAGCUAGUUGGUGGGGUAACGGCUCACCAAGGCGACGAUCCCUAGCUGGUCUGAGAGGAUGACCAGCCACACUGGAAAUUAGACCCGGUCCAGACUCCUACGGGGGGAACAAGUGGGGAAUUUUGCACAAGUGGUGCAGGCUGGAGGCAGCCGUGCGGCGUGUAGGAGAAAGGCCUGCGGGUUGUAAAGUACUUUCAGCGUGUAGGCGUUACCCGCAGAAGAAGCACCGGCUAACUCCGUGCCAGCCGCCGCGGUAAUUC
rnacentral:rRNA from 1 species